rnacentral:rRNA from 1 species
AACGAACGCUGGCGGCAUGCCUAACACAUGCAAGUCGAACGAGACCUUCGGGUCUAGUGGCGCACGGGUGCGUAACGCGUGGGAACCUGCCCUUAGGUUCGGAAUAACUCCCCGAAAGGGGUGCUAAUACCGGAUAAUGUCUUCGGACCAAAGAUUUAUCGCCUUUGGAUGGGCCCGCGUUGGAUUAGCUAGUUGGUAGGGUAAAAGCCUACCAAGGCGACGAUCCAUAGCUGGUCUGAGAGGAUGAUCAGCCACACUGGGACUGAGACACGGCCCAGACUCCUACGGGAGGCAGCAGUGGGGAAUAUUGGACAAUGGGCGAAAGCCUGAUCCAGCAAUGCCGCGUGAGUGAUGAAGGGCGUAGGGUUGUAAAGCUCUUUUACCCGGGAUGAUAAUGACAGUACCGGGAGAAUAAGCACCGGCUAACUCCGUG